rnacentral:tRNA from 1 species
UGUCCUGUGGUGUAACGGUAGCACAUCAGAUUCUGGCUCUGUUUGUUCGGGUUCGAAUCCUGACAGGACAA